CUCUCCUUAGCUCAGCUGGAAGAGCGCAAGACUGUAAAUCUUGAGGUCCGUGGUUCGAUCCCGCGAGGGGAGA
rnacentral:tRNA from 1 species